UACCCUGGGGGGAGGGCAUGGUUGGACGGCCGCCCUGACGCGGGACUGGUGGUCGUGCUCCUGUCCAGGGGCCCGCCCCCCGGGGGUGGGGGGCUCCCGAGCGUCUCCGGACCGUGGGUCGCCCUCUUCCUUUUCCUGGGUGGGCGGGAGGCACGUGGCGCCCACGGGCUCUGCAGGCCUGGGGCUGGUGGCAGCCAAACACCCAGACGCAGAGCACCACGGGCCCAGAGAGACGGGGCGGGGUGAGAGGCGCCAGAUGCAGCCUCGGCCGAGAACAGGGGAGCCCCCGGGGAGCCGGCCCUGACCUCCGGGCCUGGGGUCUGUCACGUCGCUUGAAGGCAGCCUGCGGUUGGGCCCGCAGCGGCGGGCGGGGGAGGCAGACCCUCAGGGGAUGCAUCCACCCCGACCCCUCUUGCCCUUUCUUUCCCCUUUGCCUGUUCUGGGCCCCGUGUGAGUGUCACAGGUCGGGGCCCCGUGUGAGUGUCACGGGUCGGGUCAGGGCCCCGUGUCAGUGUCACGGGUCGGGUCGGGGCCCCGUGUGAGUGUCACAGGUCGGGGCCCCGUGUGAGUGUCACGGGUCGGGUCAGGGCCCUGUGUGAGUGUCACAGGUCGGGGCCCCGUGUGAGUGUCACAGGUCGGGUCAGGGCCCCGUGUGAGUGUCACAGGUCGGGGCCCAGUGUGAGUGUCACGGGGGCGUCACGGGUCGGGGCCCCGUGUGAGUGUCACAGGUCGGGUCAGGGCCCCGUGUGAGUGUCACAGGUCGGGGCCCAGUGUGAGUGUCACGGGGGCGUCACGGGUCGGGGCCCCGUGUGAGUGUCACAGGUCGGGGCCCCGUGUGAGUGUCACGGGGGCGUCACGGGUCGGGGCCCCCAGCUGGCCCUCUGGGCCGGCCUUGCCCGGCGCUGCCCCCUGCUGGCGGGGACCGCAGGCUGCAGCUGUCCCAGUCGGGAUGCCACCACGAGGUGCUGACCCCCAGCCUCCGGCUCCCUGCCCGCCAGCCGCCGGACACCACGGCCACGGGGCAUUCCUCUGCACUCCAGACACGCGGCUAUAAAAGGGUGGCGGCCUGGCAUCGGGGCCACGGGCCCCUGUCUGCAGUGCGACAGGCCAGGUGGGGCCUCCGACCACCCCCACGACGCGGAGAGCACCCCCGCCCUGUACCCGCAGUGUGGCGCUGUGUCCACGCCCCCAGCUGAAGCCGGGCCGCCCUGGCACGUGUGCGGACUGACUAAACGAGCGGAGGCUCCGCCCAGGGCAAGGCCAGAAGACUCCUUGCCGGCCUCCCCAACCCGGAGUCAGCUACAGAGCAGUGCCCGAGACGCAGCCCUUCUGCGAGGACGGUCCCCGCCGGCACCCUGCCCGCACGGGACACAGCCAGCCAAGCAUGUGCUCCGCUGUCUCAUGGCCCCCAGAUGGGCCUCCGGACAGUCCUGUGGUCACCCCCCAGCCGAGGACGCGGCUGAGGCGGCCAGGGGUCCUGUCCAAGGCCGCCGGCCAGCGAGCGUGCAGUUGCAGGUUGGGGCCGCCAGGGGGCAGCAGCGCCCCGGGCCGGCCU